rnacentral:rRNA from 1 species
GACGAACGCUGGCGGCGUGCCUAAUACAUGCAAGUAGAACGCUGAAGAGAGGAGCUUGCUCUUCUUGGAUGAGUUGCGAACGGGUGAGUAACGCGUAGGUAACCUGCCUUGUAGCGGGGGAUAACUAUUGGAAACGAUAGCUAAUACCGCAUAACAAUAGGUGACACAUGUCAUUUAUUUGAAAGGGGCAAUUGCUCCACUACAAGAUGGACCUGCGUUGUAUUAGCUAGUAGGUGAGGUAACGGCUCACCUAGGCGACGAUACAUAGCCGACCUGAGAGGGUGAUCGGCCACACUGGGACUGAGACACGGCCCAGACUCCUACGGGAGGCAGCAGUAGGGAAUCUUCGGCAAUAGGGGCAACCCUGACCGAGCAACGCCGCGUGAGUGAAGAAGGUUUUCGGAUCGUAAAGCUCUGUUGUAAGUCAAGAACGAGUGUGAGAGUGGAAAGUUCACACUGUGACGGUAGCUUACCAGAAAGGGACGGCUAACUACGUG